AGUGAAAUGCGUAGAUAUCGUGAGGAACACUAGUGCCGAAAGGCGAGACUCUGGACAGUUCCUGACGCUGAGGCACGAAGGCCAGGGGAGCGAAGGGGAUUAGAUACCCCCGUAGUCCUGGCAGUAAACGGUGCUCGCUUGGUAUGCGCGGUUUCGACCCCGUGCGUGCCGGAGCUAACGCGUUAAGCGAGCCGCCUGGGAAGUACGGUCGCAAGAUUAAAACUCAAAGAAAUUGACGGGGACCCGCACAAGCGGUGGAGUAUGUGGCUUAAUUCGAUGCAACGCGAAGAACCUUACCUGGGCUUGACAUGCAUCGCUAAUCGUGUGAAAGCGCGUGAGUGGAGCAAUCCACACUUUGCACAGGUGCUGCAUGGCAGUCGUCAGCUCGUGUCGUGAGAUGUUGGGUUAAGUCCCGCAACGAGCGCAACACCUGCAUUUAGUUGCCAGCGGAUCAUGCCGGGGACUCUAAAUGGACUGCCUAGAUCAACUAGGAGGAAGGUGGGGACGACGUCAAGUCAGUAUGGCCCUUACGCCCAGGGCUGCACACGUACUACAAUGGCCAGUACAGAGUGAACCGAUCCCGCGAGGGGGAGGAAAUCCCAAAAACUGGCCUCAAUUAG
rnacentral:rRNA from 1 species